rnacentral:rRNA from 1 species
GACGUAGGAGGCAAACGUUAUCCGGAUUUACUGGGCGUAAAGAGAGCGUAGGCGGUUUUUUAAGUCAAGUGUGAAAUCUUCUGACUCAAUCAGGAGACGCCGCUUGAUACUGGAUAGCUUGAGGGCAGCAGAAGGAAAUGGAAUUCCCAGUGUAGCGGUGAAAUGCGUUGAUAUUGGGAAGAACACCAGUGGCGAAGGCGAUUUCCUAGGCUGUUCCUGACGCUGAGGCUCGAAAGCGUGGGGAGCGAAGCGGAUUAGAUACCCCCGUA